rnacentral:lncRNA from 1 species
UAUUUAGUUAGUUUGUGGUUAGGACAUAAUUAAAAAAAUUUAGUCCGCAAACCAAUCUGCAAAAUGGUAGAUUAGGUUUGAAUUGGGUCAAAUCCGCAUCCGAUCUGCAGAUAUAUGAAUUGAAUUUGGAUUGACUUUUACCAAUGAAUUAAAAAUUUAUAAUCCGUAAAAUCGUGGAUCGGAUAUGGAUUGACAUUCAAUCCGCAAAAAUCAAUCAGCGAACACCCCUAAUCGAGGACAAGAAUGCAAAGCACUCCUGUUUCAAAAGCUUGUCACUAAGCAUCAAGAGAAGCGGGAAAGAACUCGGUGAUGAGGUUACAGAAAGCAUCUCGUUCGAGAAGCUACCUAGCGAGACCGCGGAGGAAGAUUACAGGCUAAAAUCUUUCUUCAAGUUGCUUGGGGAAAUUCCUUCAAGGGGAAACUGUGUCGAAAUUAUUUUGGUUCACUACAUAAAGCACCUUCAGGUCCGGUCUUAAAGCGAGAGAAGAUGAUGAUGAAGAAGAAGGGUAAUCAUCAGUCCCAAAGCUGGAGCUGUUCAAGUUGAAAACCCUAGAUUUGUGGAAGGGGUUGCGAAAGAUGGGGAUGAUGGCCGUGUUUGAGUUUCGAUUAUUAUACAUGCAUGUUCAUAUGACCAGUUUUGUUGAUUGGGCAAGGUGUGUAUACAUAAUAUAAUUAUGUAUCAUUGGACUUAAUCAGAGGAAAAAUAAGCCAUAAUUAAAAUAAAAUCAGAGUCCAGUUAAUGUUUUUUCAGUGAGAGGAAUUUGAACUCUUACUAUUGACUGAAAGAAUCUAAACAACUUAUUUAUCCCCUUGAAAUAAAUGAUAGUAAAAAAUUUCUUCUUUUUCCUCAUUGAGUCAAUUAAGUGGACAAAUGCAAGAAAAUUGCUUCGAACAAAUCUGUCAUCAAAACCUUUCAUUUAUGCGCUUUGGCAAUUUGCAUUUAUAUCGUUAUUUUUUUCCUCUUACUCAUAACAUUUUCAUAAAAAUUAGGAAUAAUUUCUACGUGAACAACAUACUGUGAUUUUCAUCACCGUUUAGCGGUGGACUAAACUAAACCAAUCAAAACCAGCAAAACAUUUUUUUUCUGUUUUUAGGGAUUUGAUUGGGUAGCUUUCAAGCAACUUUAUUAAGAUAGCUAUUCAAAUUCAAAUCUUAUGAGAGAUAAAAUAAUAAUAAUAAAAAAUGAAUUUAAAUCAGAACCAACUAAUAGGGGUGUUUGCAGAUCGGAUUUUACGGAUUGGAAAUAAAUUCAUAUCCGAUUCACGAUUUUGUGGAUUAUAAUUUUCAAUCCAAUCUAAUCCACAGAUUGAUGAAAUUUAAUCCAAAUCUAAUCCAGAUAUCUACGGAUCGAACGCAAAUUUGACCCGAUGCAUUUCCAAUCCACCAUUUUGCAGACUGAAAAUUUUUAUUUAUGUCCAAUCCACGAACUAACUAAAUAAAAAAAUUAAUAUAAAAAUAAUUUUACUAUCGAUCGAAUUUAAAAUUAAAUAAGAUUUAAAUAAAUUAAUUGUUAAAAUAAAGUUAGAAAAUACAUAUAAAGUUUCAAAAUAUAACAUACCAAAACGAAAAAAAAAAUCUCCUUCGUUUAG